GGGAUCUGAUUUCAAUCACUUCAAAUUUGAGCUGCCAUAUUCUCUUCGUCUUCACCGUUCGCCUGCAAAGCUUUCAAGCUCACUUCGUCUGGCGCCAAAACCACAUCUACUUCCCGCUCAAGUUCUCAAGGUUUGAGAGCUCAGUAAUGGGAACUCUGAGCUCAGGACCAGUCUCUCUCUCGUUUUUACUCUCUCGGGGAUCACAUGAGCCACAAGCUCAGCCACGUCCCGAGGAUGCUCCAGCACAGCAGUCCUAUUAUCCUCACUCUAUUAACUCCCCGAGCUCUUCUCGUCCUUUAACUCCGAGUUGAACCUCUUCUUCUUCCAAUUUGAGUUCUAGGGGUAACUCCCCGUCACCUGUUUCUCCCACUGAAGCUGCCGGUGUUAUUGCUUCUUUGAAGGACAAAAGAAGUUGUCAGCAUAGUAAAUGUGGUUGCUCUAAUGUUGCUGCAUUGUUGAUGGGGGACAUAAGUAGCAGAAUCUAUUAGAGGUUUAAAGGUAUAUAGGAGACAUGUUAAAAGUGGGAUAGAUACUUAGAUGUCAUAUGCUUUUGUUAAUCAAUGCCUAAUUCAUCAUGGAAAUUCUAAUGCUGAUGGAACAGGAAUGUUUCAUGAUUUUCUGGUCUAGUUUUAUUUAGUCUUCAAGCUUUUCUAAACUAUAUCCUAGAUUCCUAGAUGAAUUGAUACUGAUCAGGAUGAAAAGAUGAGCUAAUUUGUUCUCUUGUCAUCAAGCUUUGUUCCUAGUGUUGAAUCUUUCUCUGUAGAAGCCAAGAUUGAAUACAGGGGUUUAGAAAUUGUCAUGUUACUGUGGAUUAUGGGGUUUAGAAAUUGUCCAAAAAUUUGAGGUUUUUCUGUAACUGGGUUUUGCUAAUAUGGGUUUAGUGUGAUAGUUUGGUUGUCAAGAAAGUUUUGAGAAGGAAAUGGCUUGGUAUUUUCAAUUAUGCUUCAUGAUUUGAGUAAAGAAACAAAUUCUGGAAAUGACAAUUGUGGGGGUGGGACUGUGGGGAGGGUUAUUGUGUGUAAUAUGCUAAAUUUGAACUUUGAUUUUGACGUGAGCAGUUUAAAGAUUUGUUUUUAUUAGAUCAUGUCUUUUCAAAACUUGUCCAAUUUGAAUAUAACCUUCAAUUGGCGAAUAGAUAGAAUGAACAAUUCUUCAGUUCUUGAUGAAAUUUGGUCAUUUAUGUUUGAAUUGUGUUUAUAAGAGCCCUUUAGUAGUAUAAUCUUGGAUAAUGGGGUUACUGUGGAUUAUGCUAAAUGUCCAAUGUUAGAAAUUGUAAAUGGAAUGGGGUUGUUAGGAUGAGAUAACAAUGGUGGAAGGUGCAAUCUGGAAUGCUGAUAACCUUAAGGCUCUAUGAUGUACGCUUGAACAAAACUAUGCCCACAAGUCAUGGUCAGGUCAACAGCCCAUGGUGUCCAAAUAGAGGAAUUUCCAAUCCGGAUUCCUUUGUGAAUUGCAUGGUAUCGUUCCAAAAUGAUGCUCGCAACACCAACCAUGUCUACGUGACACAUCCCCUGAAACUCGGUUCAAAGUAUGAACCACUAUUACUAUUAGUCCCACUUCAAAUAACCAUUAUGAUUCUAGGUAUUCGGAGACGACCCAAAGCUAUAGUCGCUCGUCUCGUUCACUUAAGCACGGAAUCGAACUCCGUUCUCGCACCUUAAACCCUGCUCCAACAAACUUACUGGCAUCGAGGAAGAAAUAACCACAACAUUUCCUCGAAUUAUACUUCGUAGCACAACUCGAAAUUGUAGAGUAGUCUUACUCUACCAUCAGUAGGGAAAUGUGCAAAACAUGCGACCAAUCCGCUAUGCAACAAAAACCCUAGGAAGUCGGUGUACAAGAGGCAUAACACCUAAAGGAACAUCAUCUAGACAUGUACCUUACACACUUAAUGAAUACAUUAGCAUCGAAGAGUAAACGAUGGGGAACCGCUGCAGUCGGGCCAUCACUUGGGAGGUACUGUGUAACAUCAAGCAUGUAAGGUAACAGGAUAGAAACAAGACUACAGAAUCUGACAACCUAAUGCUUUGAUACCAACUGACAGGACUCGCCCUGAAUUUCACCCUGAAAUUCGAAGUGACCCUGCGGGGUCCACUUUAGAAGAAAUUCUAUCAAAAAUUUAGCAGAACUUCCCUUAAAAAUGGACUAUCCAAAACCUGUAGAAAUACAUUUACACUUCUAACCAUCCAUCCUUAUUCUCUUGGAGCCACCCUGCUCCCCAAAUUACAACAUCGUCCAAUUCACAUAACACAAAAAGCAACUUGAAUAACAUUAAUCCCACAAGUAAUCAGAGCAAUUCUAAUAGAAAGGUAAACAAGGAAAACCUAAUUCAAAGGCAAACGCGGAAGCCAUGCUGUUGACUAUGCCUCAACUCCAUGUAUGCCCGACCUCAACUAAUUUCGCCUGCAAACUGGGCAUUUGAAACUGAAGGGCCUAGGGGAAAGUAAUUGAGAAACACGUCAGCGUGAGUGGACAAAAAUAAACAACUAAAUAAAUAAUUUAAAAGAAAUGAAGUUGUAUUACUUUCC